GGACGGUUAGUUCAGUGGUAGAACGCUCGCUUCACAUGCGAGAGGUCGCAGGUUCAAGUCCUGCACCGUCCA
rnacentral:tRNA from 1 species